rnacentral:rRNA from 1 species
UACGAAGGGGGCUAGCGUUGUUCGGAAUUACUGGGCGUAAAGCGUGCGCAGGCGGCUUCUCAAGUCAGGGGUGAAAGCCCAGAGCUCAACUCUGGAAUUGCCUUUGAGACUGAGUGGCUUGAGUACGGUAGAGGUGAGUGGAAUUCCCAGUGUAGAGGUGAAAUUCGUAGAUAUUGGGAAGAACACCGGUGGCGAAGGCGGCUCACUGGCUCAUUACUGACGCUCAGGCGCGACAGCGUGGGGAUCAAACAGG